rnacentral:lncRNA from 1 species
UUUCAUUCAAUUCCGUGGUUCUCUAGAAGAAGACUUUUGUAUGCAUUUCCCAUAGGGUCCUAUGUUAAACUAAGCCCCUCACUGGCAGCCAUCUUGGAUGAUGGAUCGGAGACAAAGUAACAACACUUAGUCAGCAUCUCAUAAGGAACAUUCAUGCUAUGUUUGGUUUCAUUCCAUUCAGUGGUUCUCUAAAAGAUGUCAUUUGUAUGCAUUUCCCAUAGGGUCCUAUGUUAAACUAAGUCCCCCCCUGGCGGCCAUCUUGGAUGAUGGAUCAGCUACAAAGUAACAACACUUGGUCAACACCUCAUAAGGAACAUUCAUGCUAUGUUUGGUUUCAUUCCAUUCAGUGGUUCUCUAAAAGAUGUCAUUUGUAUGCAUUUCCCAUAGGGUCCUAUGUUAAACUAAGUCCACCAUUGGCGGCCAUCUUGGAUGAUGGAUCGGCUACAAAGUAACAACACUUAGUCAGCACCUCAUAAGGAACAUUCAUGUCAUGUUUGGUUUCAUUCCAUUCAGUGGUUCUUUAGAAGAAGUCAUUUGCAUGCAUUUCCCAUAGGGUCCUAUGUUAAACUAAGUCCCCCACUGGCAGCCAUCUUGGAUGAUGGA